UACGUAGGGGCAAGCGUUGUCCGGAUUUACUGGGCGUAAAGAGCGUGUAGGCGGCCAAGCAGGUCCGUUGUGAAAACUGGAGGCUUAACCUCCAGACGUCGACGGAAACCGCGCGGCUAGAGUCCGGAAGAGGAGAGUGGAAUUCCUGGUGGUAGCGGUGAAAUGCGUAGAUAUCGUAAGGAAGACCAGUGGCGAAGGCGGGUCUCUGGACAGUUCCGUG
rnacentral:rRNA from 1 species